GCCGGGUGUGGUAGCUCAUGCCUAUAAUCCCAGCACUUUGGGAGGCCGAGGCAGGCAGAUCACGAGAUCAAGAGUUCGAGACCAGCCUGGCCAACAUGGUGAAACCCCGUCUCUACUAAAAAUACAAAAAAAAAUAGCCGGGCGUGAUGGCGGAUGCCACCACGCCCGGCUAAUUUUUGUAUUUUUAGGAGAGAUGGGGUUUCAUCAUAUUGGCCAGGCUGGUCUUGAACUCCUGACCUCAGGUGAUCCAUCCGCCUCAG
ensembl:misc_RNA Metazoa_SRP Metazoan signal recognition particle RNA